GAUGAACGCUGGCGGCGUGCCUAAUACAUGCAAGUCGAGCGAACGGACGAGAAGCUUGCUUUUCUGAUGUUAGCGGCGGACGGGUGAGUAACACGUGGAUAACCUACCUAUAAGACUGGGAUAACUUCGGGAAACCGGAGCUAAUACCGGAUAAUAUUUUGAACCGCAUGGUUCAAAAGUGAAAGACGCUCUUGCUGUCACUUAUAGAUGGAUCCGCGCUGCAUUAGCUAGUUGGUAAGGUAACGGCUUACCAAGGCAACGAUGCAUAGCCGACCUGAGAGGGUGAUCGGCCACACUGGAACUGAGACACGGUCCAGACUCCUACGGGAGGCAGCAGUAGGGAAUCUUCCGCAAUGGGCGAAAGCCUGACGGAGCAACGCCGCGUGAGUGAUGAAGGUCUUCGGAUCGUAAAACUCUGUUAUUAGGGAAGAACAUAUGUGUAAGUAACUGUGCACAUCUUGACGGUACCUAAUCAGAAAGCCACGGCUAACUACGUG
rnacentral:rRNA from 1 species